UACGAAGGGGGCUAGCGUUGCUCGGAAUCACUGGGCGUAAAGCGCACGUAGGCGGCUUUCUAAGUCAGGGGUGAAAUCCUGGAGCUCAACUCCAGAACUGCCUUUGAUACUGGAGUGCUGAGUCCGGGAGAGGUGAGUGGAACUCCGAGUGUAGAGGUGAAAUUCGUAGAUAUUCGGAAGAACACCAGUGGCGAAGGCGGCUCACUGGCCCGGUACUGACGCUGAUGUGCGAAGCGUGGG
rnacentral:rRNA from 1 species